rnacentral:rRNA from 1 species
CCGUCUGCCCCGUGACUAUAUGUUUAACGGCCGCGGUAUCUUAACCGUGCAAAGGUAGCGUAAUCAUUUGUCUUUUAAUUGAGGACCCGUAUGAAUGACAAAACGAGGGCUCAACUGUCUCCUUCUUUUAGUCAAUGAAAUUGAUUUCCCCGUGCAGAAGCGGGGAUAAGCACAUAAGACGAGAAGACCCUAUGAAGCUUUAGACACCCGGACAUCUCCUGUUAAAACCCCCCAAUUAAAGGACUAAAACCUAUCGACCCAUGUCCCCGUCUUAGGUUGGGGCGACCCUGGGGAACAAAAAUCCCCCACGUGGAAUAGUAGCCUAGCUACCCACAACCAAGAGCCACAGCUCUAAAAACCAGAAUCUCUGACCAUAAAUGACCCGGCAAUGCCGAUCAACGAACCAAGUUACUCUAGGGAUAACAGCGCAAUCCCCUUUUUAGAGGCCGCAUCAACAAGGGGGUUUACGACCUCGAUGUUGGAUCAGGACAUCCUAAUGGUGCAGCCGCUAUUAAGGGUUCGUUUGUUCAACGAUUAAAGUCCU